rnacentral:lncRNA from 1 species
CCUGAGUAUCACCAUCACUUACAAAGGGCAGCAUAGUAACUUCUUUGAUGUCACUGGGAAAGUGAAAACAGGAAGCAUCGCAGCCCGCUAUGGAAGCCUGGAGUGAUGGGUUUGGGUAAGAGGAUGUGUUUAUCCUGACCCAUCAUGAUAACUUAAUUAUGUUCUUUUUGGGAAAGACCAUAAAAGGCUAAUGUACCCAGGGUUCGUGAUGACACUAAAGGGCACUGGUGAAUGUCCAUCAUCUUUGGGUUUAUCCCGAUACAUUCCUUGUGCUAUCCCUCAGGAAGACUUCCAAAAAGCAUAGAUAACAGCUGGACUUCUGAGUCUUACUCCAAAGGCAGGGUGAAGAGGAAGACAUUGGUCAAGUUGAGUAGCUCCCAGGAGACACAUCAGUUUCAAAUCACAGCCACAGCAGACACCAUCUUAUUGGCUUGAUGACUCUUCAUAGACACAUGGAAGACAUAAGUCAUAGAAAGUAAAUCUGAGUGAAAAAUAGGAGAAAACAUAUGUGCAGAAGAAGAAAUAAACUGAGAAACAUUCAUUUAAAGAUAUGUCAUUGAAAAGUUUCAAGCGUUGUUGAAAAAAACACAUAUUCUUUAGUCAUU